UACGUAGGUGGCAAGCGUUGUCCGGAUUUACUGGGCGUAAAGAGCGCGCAGGCGGUCGAUCAAGUCGCGUGUGAAAGCCCCCCGGCUCAACUGGGGAGGGUCACGCGAUACUGAUCGACUCGAAGGCAGGAGAGGGAUGCGGAAUUCCAGGUGUAGCGGUGAAAUGCGUAGAUAUCUGGAGGAACACCGGUGGCGAAGGCGACAUCCUGGACCGGUAUUGACGGCUGAGGCGCGAAAGCCAGGGAGC
rnacentral:rRNA from 1 species